UAAUCAUUAGUCUUUUAAUUGAAGGCUGGUAUGAACGGUUGGACGAGGUAUAAGCUGUUUCAUAUAAAUUUAUAAUAGAAUUUUAUAUUUUAGUCAAAAAGCUAAAAUAUAUUUAAAAGACGAGAAGACCCUAUAAAUCUUUAUAUUUUGUGUUGUUUAAAUUUUUUGGAAUCGGUUUAUUUUUAUAAUAUAAAAUAUUUUGUUGGGGUGAUAUUAAAAUUUAAUUAACUUUUAAUUAUUUAAAAUCAUUAAUUUAUGAGUUAUUGAUCCAUUAAUAGUGAUUAUAAGAUUAAGUUACUUUAGGGAUAACAGCGUAAUUUUUUUGGAGAGUUCAUAUCGAUAAAAAAGUUUGCGACCUCGAUGUUGGAUUAAGAUAUAAUUUUAGGUGUAGUUGCUUAAAUGUUAAGUCUGUUCGACUUUUAAAUUCUUACAUGAUCUGAGUUCAGACCGGCGUAAGCCAGGUUGGUUUCUAUCUUUAAAUUUUUAUAAUGCCUUAGUACGAAAGGACCAGGCAUUAAAAUAAUAAUAUUUUAUUUAUAGAAUGUGAUUAAUU
rnacentral:rRNA from 1 species